rnacentral:rRNA from 1 species
GGCGAACGGGUGAGUAACACGUAAAGAACCUGCCUCAUAGACUGGGACAACUAUUGGAAACGAUAGCUAAUACCGGAUAACAGUAUUUCUCGCAUGAGAGAUAUUUAAAAGUUGGUUAUGCUAACACUAUGAGAUGGCUUUGCGGUGCAUUAGCUAGUUGGUGGGGUAAAGGCCCACCAAGGCGACGAUGCAUAGCCGACCUGAGAGGGUGAUCGGCCACACUGGGACUGAGACACGGCCCAGACUCC